AUACAUCCCGAGGAGACGGAGGGAGCCAUCUCUUACCGCCUCUGCACUGGCUGGAAAGCUGUCUUUAGUAACUUUUUCUCUACUUCCAAGGCACUAGAUCGAUCUAAAAAGAGAAGGGGAAAAAAAAGUGUUCCUUUAUAGCCCCCGUUUUAUUCCUCCCAUCCCUGAAUUAAGCCUCGAGAUUCAAGAUCUUUCUUUUCUCAGCGAGUUGCAAAUACGACACAACGACUGCUCUGCUGCAGGGGUGACCGUCAGAGAAAACACACCGACCCCCGAGCGAGCCUGACCUGGCGGCCGGGUCCUUCCCGCAAAAGCGACGACAACAGCAACAAAAAAUUAUCUCCGGUGGAGGAAGGUUUCUUCAGAAGGGGGAGGAGAAGAGAAGGGGACAAGAGUGCGUGUGCGCCUUUCCUUCAAGGUUUGGGGAGCUAAAAUGAUUUAGUACCUUGUCUGUAAAUCUAAUGACCUAAGUUCUGCACAGAGGCGAGAAGGGAAAAAUAGUGCCUGAGAGACCUGAAGUCCCGUACACCUCCUGCCAGCCUUUUUCCUCGAGAAAUAAUGCCCCCUUUCUGUUCGCGGGCGUGUUCCCCUGCUUCCGCUUGUAAGCAGCCCAGGCUACAGUGUGUACCACAAGGGGGUAAGCAAAGGUAAGGGGCCAU